rnacentral:misc_RNA from 1 species
GGAGGGAUCAUCAAAGGAUUUUUCCAAAGAAGAAAGGGUAUACUGCUGCUUUUUUCCUUGUAAAAGAGGAGAGAGAGGAGUGGUAUGCUCUUUUUUCUUCAAACAAACUAUCACAACUAUUGAAUGAAAAUUGAUUUGGUCUUUGAAAAAAAAGUGUUUGCCUGAUAAUCUAAUGGUUUGGAAAAACAAGAGAAAGAAAUACAACUUUCAACAACGGAUCUCUUGGCUCUCACAUCGAUGAAGAACAUAGCAAAGUGUGAAAAUUAAUGUGAAUUGCAGAAUUCAGUGAAUCAUUGAGUUUUUGAACGCAUCUUGCACUUCUUGGUAUUCCAGGGAGUAUGCCUGGUUGAGUAAUGUGAAUAACAUCAUCAAGUUCUCUUUUGUUUGAAAAGGAGAAUUUGGAGUUGAGUGUUUUACCUUGACAUUUGUUUGUCGAGGUUCACUUGAAAUGAAGGAGAAACAAGCUAGCGAUUAUAACAGGAAAGAUUUGGAAAAAAAGGUUGUGGUCGCAAAAGGCAAGCAGUGAUUUGGGUGACUGAGAAAAUCAGAGUCAAGCUUGAUUAUAACAAUGACUUGAGGAGUGUGAAUGAUAUUUUCUUUACAGAAAAAUAUCCAUCCUACUUAAAAGUCUUGUUUAGAGCUUUUCUUCUGUCUGUUUUGUCUGAUCUCUAACCUAUCCAUUCUAACUUGGAGCUAGUUCUCUUGUUUUUCACAACUAGGGAAUGUGUCUGUCUGUGUGUCUGGUCUGCUAAGAAAAGAUUUAUCUCUUCUCUUGGCAAUAAUAGCAUACAAACAACCAAUCAUUAUCAUUCUCAACUCAGGCAAGACUACCCGCUGAAUUUAAGCAUAUAAAUAAGCGGAGGAAAAGAAACUAACAAGGAUUCCCUCAGUAACUGCGAGUGAAGCGGGAAAAGCUCAAUUUUGAAAUCUACCAAGAGUAACAUUCUUGGUCGAAUUGUAGUUUCGAGAAAGGGUGGCUGAGAGAAGCCGUGUUGGAUGCAAGUUCCUUGGAAUGGGACAUCAGAGAGGGUGACAAUCCCGUCCACCAUCCUUCCGUUUGCUUCUCAUAAAGGCCCUCUUUUCAAAGAGUCGAGUUGUUUGGGAUUGCAGCUCAAAAUGGGUGGUAAAUUUCAUCUAAAGCUAAAUAUGGGUGAGAGACCGAUAGCGAACAAGUACCGUGAGGGAAAGAUGAAAAGCACUCUGAAGAGAGAGUCAAAAGUACGUGAAAUUGUUGAAAGGGAAACGCUUGAAACCAGUCAAGGUUUAUUAGAAAUCAGGGGGAUUCCAUAGUUGAGCAAGUUGAAUGUAAAGAUUGGUUCUUUCUUGUAAAGUGCUGACUUUGCACCGGCUUUAGCUUGGUUAUGUCCUCUGUACGUUUCUAGUAAACAAGUCAGCAUCAGUUUGGCUGCUUGGGAAAAAGAUAACAGGAUUUGGUCGAGCUUUUGUUGGAUUUCGGUCCUCGGAGGCUUGAGCCUGCUUAUCAUGAUAUCAAGUGCUAGACUGAGGACAGCAGUACAGGGCAUUGACUUGGAAGAGGCAAUCUUGUGGUGCUAUUCUUGAUAAACAGCUUGUCUGAUUAUCAGGAAUGGUCAUCCAAGUCUUGUCAAAUCCAGGCUGGCUUCUGACUUUGGAUGUUGACGAAAUGGUUUUAAACGACCCGUCUUGAAACACGGACCAAGGAGUCUAACAUGGAUGCAAGUAUUUGGGUGAUUAGAAACCCAUAUGCGCAAUGAAAGUGAAUUUAUCCAGAGGUAGGAAGUCCUCUCUCUUCUCGAGGGAGGACCGCACUAUCAACCAAUCUUGACUAGCUUCGGCUUGAUAGAUUUGAGUAAGAGCAUGCAUGCUGGGACCCGAAAGAUGGUGAACUAUGCCUGAAUAGGGUGAAGUCAGACGAAAGUCUGAUGGAAGCUCGUAGCGAUUCUGACGUGCAAAUCGAUCGUCAAAUUUGGGUAUAGGGGCGAAAGACUAAUCGAACCAUCUAGUAGCUGGUUCCUGC